UACGGAGGGGGCUAGCGUUGUUCGGAAUUACUGGGCGUAAAGCGCGCGUAGGCGGACCUGCAAGUCGGGGGUGAAAGCCCGAGGCUCAACCUCGGAACUGCCUUCGAUACUGCGGGUCUCGAGUCCGGGAGAGGUGAGUGGAAUUCCUGGUGUAGCGGUGAAAUGCGUAGAUAUCAGGAGGAACACCUGUGGCGAAAGCGGCGCACUGGACCACAACUGACGCUGAGGCGCGAAAGCUAGGGGAGCAAACAGG
rnacentral:rRNA from 1 species